rnacentral:rRNA from 1 species
ACGCGCAGACCUUACCAGCUUUGACAUGUCCGGUAUGUUGUCAGAGAUGACUUCCUUCCCGCAAGGGCCGGAACACAGGUGCUGCAUGGCUGUCGUCAGCUCGUGUCGUGAGAUGUUGGGUUAAGUCCCGCAACGAGCGCAACCCUCGCCCUUAGUUGCCAUCAUUCAGUUGGGCACUCUAGGGGGACUGCCGGUGAUAAGCCGCGAGGAAGGUGGGGAUGACGUCAAGUCCUCAUGGCCCUUACAGGCUGGGCUACAUACGUGCUACAAUGGCGGUGACAAUGGGAAGCGAAAGGGCGACCUGGAGCAAAUCUCAAAAAGCCGUCUCAGUUCGGAUUGCACUCUGCAACUCGAGUGCAUGAAGGUGGAAUCGCUAGUAAUCGCAGAUCAGCACGCUGCGGUGAAUACGUUCCCGGGCCUUGUACACACCGCCCGUCACACCAUGGGAGUUGGUUUUACCCGAAGGCGUUUCGCCAACCGCAAGGGGGCAGGCGACCACGGUAGGGUCAGCGACUGGGGUGGAGUCGUAACAAGGUA